GUCGGGGGGGAGACACAGGGAUUGCCCUAGUAACGGCGAGUGAAGCGGCAACAGCUCAAAUUUGAAAUCUGGCGUCUUUGGCGUCCGAGUUGUAAUUUGCAGAGGGCGCUUUGGCAUUGGCAGCGGUCCAAGUUCCUUGGAACAGGACGUCACAGAGGGUGAGAAUCCCGUACGUGGUCGCUAGCCUUUACCGUGUAAAGCCCCUUCGACGAGUCGAGUUGUUUGGGAAUGCAGCUCUAAAUGGGAGGUAAAUUUCUUCUAAAGCUAAAUACUGGCCAGAGACCGAUAGCGCACAAGUAGAGUGAUCGAAAGAUGAAAAGCACUUUGGAAAGAGAGUUAAAAAGCACGUGAAAUUGUUGAAAGGGAAGCGCUUGCAGCCAGACUUGCCUGUAGUUGCUCAUCCGGGUUUCUACCCGGUGCACUCUUCUAUAGGCAGGCCAGCAUCAGUUUGGGCGGUUGGAUAAAGGUCUCUGUCAUGUACCUCCUUUCGGGGAGAACUUAUAGGGGAGACGACAUGCAACCAGCCUGGACUGAGGUCCGCGCAUCUGCUAGGAUGCUGGCGUAAUGGCUGUAAGCGGCCCGUCUUGAAACACGGACCAAGGAGUCUAACAUCUAUGCGAGUGUUUGGGUGUCAAGCCCGAGCGCGUAAUGAAAGUGAACGGAGGUGGGAACCUUUCGGGGUGCACCAUCGACCGAUCCUGAUGUCUUCGGAUGGAUUUGAGUAAGAGCAUAGCUGUUGGGACCCGAAAGAUGGUGAACUAUGCUUGAAUAGGGUGAAGCCAGAGGAAACUCUGGUGGAGGCUCGCAGCGGUUCUGACGUGCAAAUCGAUCGUCAAAUUUGGGCAUAGGGGCGAAAGACUAAUCGAACUAUCUAGUAGCUGGUUCCUGCCGAAGUUCCCCCUCAGGAUA
rnacentral:rRNA from 1 species